rnacentral:tRNA from 1 species
AACCCUGUGGCUCAUUUGGUAGAGCAUGGUGUUUGUAACGCCAGCAUGGUGUGUGCAACGCCAGCAUGGUGUGUGCAACACCAGGGUUG